rnacentral:rRNA from 1 species
AAUUCCUACGGUGCGCAGCAGUUAUUACUCUUGUUCCCUUUUCUCGAUCCUGAACCAGCCAAGUAGCGUGAAGGAUGACUGCCCUACGGGUUGUAAACUUCUUUUAUAAAGGAAUAAAGUGAGGCACGUGUGCCUUUUUGUAUGUACUUUAUGAAUAAGGAUCGGCUAACUCCGUGCCAGCAGCCGCGGUAAUACGGAGGAUCCGAGCGUUAUCCGGAUUUAUUGGGUUUAAAGGGAGCGUAGAUGGGUUGUUAAGUCAGUUGUGAAAGUUUGCGGCUCAACCGUAAAAUUGCAAUUGAUACUGG